rnacentral:lncRNA from 1 species
CCUUUGGCGCUUCUCCGGGAGAGCAAGCGAAGAUGUACGCGGAUCGGGAGGGUGCCGGGACGAAGAGAUCGAUCAUGGAGCGCCUUAAUGGCGGCCUGGCUGACGAUGUCGGCCGGACCAGAUCGGCCACUGGGAAAAGGUCCGAUUUUCCUUCUCUCAAUCCGGUUAGAAUGCCUCUGUUCUUGUUCCUAAAUCGCUGUAAACAAUGUUAAUUGGCUCGUAGGUAUUCUUGAUAUCUUUUCGAGAUUUGGCAAAUUAGGGUUUUUUAGUUCGGUCGCUCUGUUAGGCAGUAAAAAUUGGUUCUUUUGUGCUUUAAAAUUUUCUUUAAUUCGAGAAACUUGAUGUUUUGACCUGUUAUGUUUUAUAAAAAAUGGCGCAUAGCCGUGCACUGCUAUCUGCUUAUUCAGGUUAGUUUUGUCUUAAUAAGGUUUGGCUUGUUGUAUGACUCUUUUACAUUACGGCCAGUUUAGCUUUUGCCAGUGUGGUUGCCGAUAUCUAUGAGGAGGAAGUUAGGUUUUCUCCAAAUAGGCUUUCUUGUCGUUUCGAAAUGCAUUGUUCCAGGUAAGCAGUUGUUUAAUAUUGGUCUUAUGUUUGUUAGAUAAAUAAAGUUUAAUUUUUUUUACAAGCAGGUUGCUGCUUCCUGUAAUUUGGAAAUAAGUUUCCAAUUAGCAGGUUUUUAGGUGGUAUCAGGUGUUGGUCAACCAAUUUAGGGUUUUGGUUGGUAGAUUUUUCAUUGGCGUAUUAUGUUGCAAAAUGAGUGUGUGCAUUUAGUUUGGGGUUUGGAGAGGUGGAGGUAACUGUCAAAAGUUUAUGAGCAUGAAAACUGAAUGUUUGAUUAACCACAAAUGGGCAGUCUGCUGGGGUGUUGCAGUUGAAAUAACAAUUAAAUCUUGUUUUCUUUGGUUCAUGCAGUUGCAGUUCAGCAGUGCCUACUGGGUUGUUAACCUUAUUUACUGAGUACUUAGAGUUUGCGUGCUGUUAAACUAUUUCAACCCUCAGUUUCAUGUUCUGUUAGGUUUCAUGCAGAAGCAGGUGCAGUAAAGAGCCUUUUUAGUGUAGCUGAGUGACAUAACUCUAAAUCAUGUGGGAGAGCUCUCAUCAUAGGAGGG